rnacentral:antisense_RNA from 1 species
UUCAAUGGUGAUUCAGGCAGGGGAGGCUUCGGCCUCGCCGGAGUAAGCGCCGGUCUGCUAACCCUGUCUGAAUCACCACCAUC